rnacentral:lncRNA from 1 species
UUUUUUUUUUUUUUUUGGUCUUUUUUUGCCUUUUCUAGGGCCGCUCCCACGGCAUAUGGAGGUUCCCAGGCUAGGGGUCUAAUCAGAGCUGUAGCCACCAGUCUACACCAGAGCCACAGCAGCGUUGGAUCAGAGCUGCGUCUGUGACCUACACCACAGCUCACGGCAACGCGGGAUCCUUAACCCACUGAGCAAGGCCAGGGAUUGAACCCUCAACCUCAUGGUUCCUGGUCGGAUUUAUUAACCACUGCGCCAGGACAGGAACCCCAUCUUUUCAAAUUUUUGUUUCCACCUUUUAGGGCCACACCAAGACCAAAUGGAAGUUCCCAGGCUGGGGUUGAAUUGGAGCUGCAGCUGCUGGUCUACACCACAGCUACAGCAACUCAGGAUCAGUCACGUCUGUGACCUACAUCACAGCUCAAGGCAAUGCUGGAUCCCCCACCCACUAAGUGAGGCCAGGGAUUGAACCCACAUCCUCAUGGAUACUAGUCAGAUUUGUUUCCACUGCACCACAACAGGAACUCCCCAUUUUCUCAAUGUCAAUCCAACAUCAGCUAUCUUUCAAUAGUAUAUUCCUUCCACACUAGUAUAUUCCUUCCAAUCUUCUAUAACACUGAAAUGUUUUAGCCCAGAUUGCAUUCUUUGGAACUCUGGUUCCAAGAAAUAAAAGAAGGGAGGAUUCCACCAUCUACAUUUCAUAUACACUGCUUCCUUUACGCCAUUUUGGGUAUUUACAAAGCAUCACCAAUGGCACUGCGAAAUCCUGCAGUAAAAAAAAAAUUCUCUAGGAUCAACCUGAAUUUUCCCAUUCUCUCUUUGACUGUAGGCUCUUUGGGGCAUAACAUUUAUUUGUGGUCUGCACCCUGACCUGCACUGCCACAGUAAGAACUACCUGACUCACAGGUGGCCUGAACAUGAAAACAGCAGAGGGGUUUUUUUUGUUGUUUUUUUAAGCCUCUGUUCCUCCAGGCACAAAUGCAGCCAGAUGUUCUGUUUCAUUUCAGAAGCCACCGUGCUGAUUUAGCUACCAGAUUCCAAAGACCCUGCAGAGGGCUGCACUCAGUGGGCGCUCAGUGGUCACAGCCUGAUCCAUGAAAUCCGGGAGGAGAACUCAUCUGAGAGCCAUGGGUUUAGGAGAAUUGGGGUGGGGGUGUGGGUUGGCAUCAGGCCCCCUUGUUGCUUUCUUGAGAAGUUGACAGCAACUUUUCUCCCAAGUAGGGGUGUCUGAGCCAAAGGUCCACAUAGAGUCCAGAAACAUCCCUCUGGAGUGCUCUCAGUCCUGGAUGCUGAGGCCACGGUGGUGCCUCUUGCACACAGAGGACCAGCCACUCAGUGGCAGAACACUGUUAGGUGCUGAGAGAACCCUAAACAGAAAACAUCAUUCUCUCAGUCUGGAGGGCACCCCAGGGAUCAACUGGAAAUGUUGUCCAACAGCUCCACCCCCUGGAGUAUGACUUCAAUCUCAACAGGGACAGAGGUCUCCUACAACUAGUCCUUGGCCCCUGGACCUCUGAGUGCUAGAAGGGCAGUCAUUUAGGGGAAAUGUAUGGCCAAGCCAUCUGUUCAGAAGGACGCCUGGGCCUCCUGCUGUCCGCUUCCUUUCUCUGUGGGUCCUUCCUACUCAGAGAAUGUGGCCAAGUACAGCACCUCCUACGGCUGGAGAGUCUUUAAUGGAGGCAGAAUUUCACCACAAAAUCUCUCCCCACCUCGUCCCCUUUGUUUCCAUAAGUUGCUGUGAAGCCACAUUUUAUCAAUCAGGACCUGCUGCUACGUAAGGCAGCAGUGAAGAGUCCAGGUGGUCAAGGACGAGUCUCACCUGUCAUAGACCCCACCUUCCUUCUUGCCAAGCACUGUGUGCAGGGUGGCACUGGGCUCCCAGCACAGGUGCUGAGAGCUGUCACCUGCGUCCAGGCCCCUAUUCAGAACAUGCAAGGCCGGUGGUUCCAACAUGUUUAAGAAUUCCAGGAUGGUGACAGCAGCGCAUUAAAUCAGGUAUCGACCUUCUGAGCACAGGGCCCUGUGCAACUGCGCAGGUCUUAUGCCUGCCAGGUUGGUCCAGCUGAUCUCUCCCAAGGACUCUGGGGGCUUAAUGGUCUCACCCUAAGUCUUCAUGGUGACAAGACAGCUGUCCCAGCCUCCUGGAAAGACUUCCUUGAAAGGGGACCCUCUGGCAGCCCCUCUGAGUGACCUCUCCAGAUUUCCACUCACUCAAAGAACCCUUACAGCCCUGGAUGGCCCCUCUAAUCAUCUGGGUUGACUUAACCUCCACAUGCUGGUGGGGUCGGGCUCUUUCUUCUAUAUCGUAUCCAUCCCCAAUCUUGAGGUUAUUUUUCAUUGAUCUGUUUCUUUUUGGGUCCAGAAAAAUCAGGCUUCCUUCCUACCUGGCAACCACAUCUACUUUCCCAAGUUCAGGUCAAAUUUUCUCCACACACAGGGAGUUCCCGACGUGGCGCAGCAGAAACGAAUUCGACUCGGAAGCAUGAGGUUGUGGGUUCCAUCCCUGGCCUCACUCCGUGGGUUAAGGAUCUGGCAUUGCCAUGAGCUGUGGUGCAGGUCGAAGAUGCGGCUUGGAUCUGGCGUGGGCUGGCAGCUCCAGCUCCUAUUUGACCCCUACCUGGCAACUCCAUAUGUUGCAGUGCCGCCCUAAAAAGCAAAAAAAAAAAAAAAAAAAAAAAAAAAAA